rnacentral:rRNA from 1 species
AUUGAACGCUGGCGGCAGGCCUAACACAUGCAAGUCGAGCGGAGCGGCGGACGGGUGAGUAAUGCCUAGGAAUCUGCCUGGUCCUGGGGGAUAACGUCCGGAACCGGGCGCUAAUACCGCAUACUAUCAGAUGAGCCUAGGUCGGAUUAGCUAGUUGGUGGGGUAAAGGCUUACCAUGACCACGAUCCGUAACUGGUCUGAGAGGAUGAUCAGUCACACUGGAACUGAGACACGGUCCAGACUCCUACGGGAGGCAGCAGUGGGGAAUAUUGGACAAUGGGCGAAAGCCUGACCCAGCCAUGCCGCGUGUGUGAAGAAGGUCUUCGGAUUGUAAAGCACUUUAAGUUGGGAGGCGUUACCAACAGAAUAAGCACCGGCUAACUUCGUGCCAGCAGCCGCGGUAAUUC